AUGGAUAUGGAACACGAAAUACCAAAAAAAUUAGGUUUACUUGCUACUCAUGGAGAUGGGGAACCUCCUAAAACCCUCGAUGCUGGUUAUGGGAAAAAUAUUAUGCACUACUUUAAUAAUCCUGAGAAAACCCCAUUCAAUUAUGUAAUGGGAGACACGUUGGAUCAACGUGAAUACUUUAGGGAUUAUCGCUUGACUCAAAAAGGGAAACUUUUAUGGGAUCAAAUUCAUAUGUUGCAUUGGUAUGCUCGGGAACUAUGCUUGAGAUAUGAUUGUACUUGUUGCUCUAGGAUGAAGGCUCCACACCUUCCCUUUUCAUGCAAAUUUAAUGAUGAUAAAACCUUGGCUUCUUAUGCUAAUGGAAUAUAUGAUUACUAUGAUGUGGAACAAGUAGAAGAAUUCGUUGCUUUUAUGGGUGCUUAUGAAAUUGAAUCUUUGUUUAAAGAGUGUGAAAAUCUUGAUGAUGCUGUUUACAGACCUAAUUUUUUUUCUAUACUUAAAUAUUGCUAUGAGAAUUAUGAAUUCAAUUCCGACAUUGAUGAUUUUAUUGAGAGAGUCUCCGCUGUCCAAGAAGAGACUAAUAUUUUGCAGGAGUCCAUGGAAGAAGAAAUUAAUGACAUUGUGAGCUCACUGGAUGAAAAAGAUGAUGAGGAGAGCGAAGAACAAAAGGAGGAAGAGUGGAUUAGCUACCCGUGCCCACUUUCUAAUGAGAGUAACUCUUCAACUCAUACAUUGUUUAAUGAUUUCUAUGAUGAUUGUUAUGAUCCCAUUGAUUCUUUUGAAAUAUCCCUUUUUCAUGAUGCUUGCUAUGCUUGUAGCCAAGAUGCCAAUAUGAAUUAUGCUUAUGGAGAUGAACUUGCUAUAGUUCCUUAUGUUAAACAUGAAAUUGUUGCUAUUGCACCCACACAUGAUAGUCCUAUUAUCUUUUUUAAUUCUCCAAACUACACUAUAUCGGAAAAGUUUGCACUUAUUAAGGAUUAUAUUGAUAGGUUGCCUUUUACCGUUGCACAUGAUGAUUUUGAUGAAUAUAAUAUGCAUGUGCUUGCUCCUCCUACUUACAAUUAUUAUGAGAGUGGAACUAUAUUUCCACCUCUCUAUGUUUUCCCAUAA
rnacentral:rRNA from 1 species